rnacentral:lncRNA from 1 species
CCUCUUAGGAACCGAAACCCCUCUUAGGAACCGAAAGUCCCCUUAGGAACCGAACCCUCCUGAUGAAGAAGGCUGCUGAACCGAACCAAACCUCGCUUAAAAGGAAGAACUGAACCCGAAGGUACUGUUCACUACUGUUCAUUCGGUUCUGACUUCUCGCCUUUUAUCUCCGAACCGAACCUCGCUUAAAAGGAAGAACCGAACCCGAAGGUACUGUUCACUACUGUUCAUUCGGUUCUGACUUCUCGCCUUUUAUCUCCGAACCGAACCUCGCUUAAAAGGAAGAACCGAACCCGAAGGUACUGUUCACUACUGUUCAUUCGGUUCUGACUUCUCGCCUUUUAUCUCCGGACCGAAACCUCACCUUCACUUCUGACCCUUCG